AAGAACAAGACUCUGUCUCAAAAAAAAAAAUAAAAUAAAAUAAAUAAAAUAAAAACAAUGAAAAUAACAAUUUUCAGAUUACUGUUCAUCAAACAUACUAACUUACCGGUUUUGUACUCUGGUCAAUGCUAUUUAAAAAUUCCUUCGUUUUGAAAGAUUUUUCUCCUUCAAGUUCUCUGAAGGGACUGAAAGUUCAAGGCAUCUGGAUUUAAGAGAGUUAAAAAUUGGAUGGCAAAGUGACCCCAAAAAAGUUAGAAACAAGAUUAAGAUUUUGAUAACCCAAAUUAGGGAGUUAGGCAUCAUCUUUCAUAGGAGCAAUAAUGAGACAUUGCAUUAUCUUAUUCAGGGAGAGAUUUUAAUGUGAUGAACAUAUUAAAGGAACCAUGCUGGCCACAGGAUAAAGAGUCAUCUAGAUGGGGCGAGAUAGGGAAAAGUGACCACUCGGUUGUUGUCAUAAUUUGGGCAAGAUAGUGAUAACCUAAAUGUGGUACUAGAAAGUGAACUGGCAACAAGUGCAACAAUUACAGGCAUUAAAAAAAAAGGAUAUACAAUCAUCCCUUGGUAUCCAUGGGGAUUGGUUCCAGUAACCCUGCAGAUAACAAAAUCCAAGGAUACUGAAGUCCCUGAUAUAAAAUGGUGUAGUCUUUGCCCAUAAUGUAUCUCUCUUCGUGUGUUUAAAAUCAUCUCUAGACUACUUAUUAUGCCUAAUGCUAUGUAAAUGCUAUGUAAAUAGUUUGUAUACUCUAUUUUUUAAAUUUGCAUUUUUAUUGUUAUAUUGCUGUUCUUUUAUUUUUAUUUUUCAUAUAUUGAUCUACAGUUGGUUGCAUCUGCAGAUGUGGAGACAGUGGACACAGAAUCUGCUGAUAAUGGAGGGCUCACUGUAUAAGCAAACAGACAGAAGUUUGUGCCAUAUUAGACAUGGACAUAGAGGGAGUGGGAAUAGCUACAAUGACAGAAAUACUUGGAUUUCUGGCUUAAGAAAACUAGACAGAAGUCAGUGGUACUGUUCACUGGGAUUGCUUAACUAGGCCAAAUGCUGCAGAGAAAUAAAAUUAAAAUAGAAGGGAACAGGUAUAGAAGGUCUUGGUAUUUAUAUUAAGAACUUGGUCUACAUGGGGGAAGAGUAGAGGGGAUUCCAGAUGUUUGUGGCUUGAAGAGGGACUAGACAGUAAGUUGAUAGGUAAGUGGAGGCAGAUACAUCUUGAAGAUGUGGAGAAAGAGAGGGGCAAACUGAAGGAAAAUGGAAAGUUAAGGCUGAAAGAAAACUUUGGUUUGAAUAGGAGAGAGCCAAGUAAGUUUCAUGGAUCCAACCUGAACAGUUGGUUAUCUUCAUUCUCUUCUCUUACACAUCAAAUACUAAAACAAGCAAAAAACAUCUUCUGUUAUUUUCCUUUCUUUUAGGCUCACUCUGUGGCAUUGCAGACAAUACAAGGAAAGAUGGUUUAACCUUAGGAGAAUUGAAUCCCAGGGGCAGCACUGUGACUCAGAAACCAAAAGGGACCAUUUCUUAUUUGAAAUCAGCCAUGCAACUUCACCGGUUUUACAAUGACUCUAGCCACCUCUUCCUUAGCAGACACUUCCGGGGCUACUACUGCUUGUUAUCUGGGUCCUUUCCCUUUUGACCACAGAUCCUCCUGGAAUCUCCAGUGUGGCUGGAAUGGCUUUAACCCCAAGGCCGUAUUUGGAAGCCACUUGUUUAAAAUUAAGGAGCCAGAAGCUAGAAAGAGCUCCUGUCUCUGAUUCACCACCUAGGGGAGCACUAUCUAACUAUCAGAAAUUUUUAUCAGCAGGAAAUAAACUUCUAUUGUGUUAAGCCUCCAA